GACGAACGCUGGCGGCGUGCUUAACACAUGCAAGUCGAACGGAAAGGCCCUGCUUUUGUGGGGUGCUCGAGUGGCGAACGGGUGAGUAACACGUGAGUAACCUGCCCUUGACUUUGGGGUAACUUCAGGAAACUGGGGCUAAUACCGGAUAGGAGCUCCUGCUGCAUGGUGGGGGUUGGAAAGUUUCGGCGGUUGGGGAUGGACUCGCGGCUUAUCAGCUUGUUGGUGGGGUAGUGGCUUACCAAGGCUUUGACGGGUAGCCGGCCUGAGAGGGUGACCGGCCACAUUGGGACUGAGAUACGGCCCAGACUCCUAUGGGAGGCAGCAGUGGGGAAUAUUGCACAAUGGGCGGAAGCCUGAUGCAGCAACGCCGCGUGCGGGAUGACGGCCUUCGGGUUGUAAACCGCUUUCGCCUGUGACGAAGCGUGAGUGACGGUAAUGGGUAAAGAAGCACCGGCUAACUACGUG
rnacentral:rRNA from 1 species